UAGGGAAUCUUCGGCAAUGGACGAAAGUCUGACCGAGCAACGCCGCGUGAGUGAAGAAGGUUUUCGGAUCGUAAAACUCUGUUGUUAGAGAAGAACAAGGACGUUAGUAACUGAACGUCCCCUGACGGUAUCUAACCAGAAAGCCACGGCUAACUACGUGCCAGCAGCCGCGGUAAUACGUAGGUGGCAAGCGUUGUCCGGAUUUAUUGGGCGUAAAGCGAUCGCAGGCGGUUUCUUAAGUCUGAUGUGAAAGCCCCCGGCUCAACCGGGGAGGGUCAUUGGAAACUGGGAGACUUGAGUGCAGAAGAGGAGAGUGGAAUUCCAUGUGUAGCGGUGAAAUGCGUAGAUAUAUGGAGGAACACCAGUGGCGAAGGCGGCUCUCUGGUCUGUAACUGACGCUGAGGCUCGAAAGCGUGGGGAGCAAACAGG
rnacentral:rRNA from 1 species